rnacentral:tRNA from 1 species
AUCUGAAUAGUUUAAGUAAAAUGUUGGUUUGUGGUGCCAUUGAUAUAGUUUAUUAUUUUAGAUU